AGUUGAAUUGCUGGGUUGUAUGACCAGUUUUGUUUAACUGUUUAAUAAAUUCUCAAAAUGAUUUUGAAAGUAAAUACACAGUUUUAUAUAUCCAUCAGCAGU
rnacentral:pre_miRNA from 1 species